rnacentral:rRNA from 1 species
UCAGGAUGAACGCUGGCGGCGUGCCUAAUACAUGCAAGUCGAGCGAACUGAUUAGAAGCUUGCUUCUAUGACGUUAGCGGCGGACGGGUGAGUAACACGUGGGCAACCUGCCUGUAAGACUGGGAUAACUUCGGGAAACCGAAGCUAAUACCGGAUAGGAUCUUCUCCUUCAUGGGAGAUGAUUGAAAGAUGGUUUCGGCUAUCACUUACAGAUGGGCCCGCGGUGCAUUAGCUAGUUGGUGAGGUAACGGCUCACCAAGGCAACGAUGCAUAGCCGACCUGAGAGGGUGAUCGGCCACACUGGGACUGAGACACGGCCCAGACUCCUACGGGAGGCAGCAGUAGGGAAUCUUCCGCAAUGGACGAAAGUCUGACGGAGCAACGCCGCGUGAGUGAUGAAGGCUUUCGGGUCGUAAAACUCUGUUGUUAGGGAAGAACAAGUACGAGAGUAACUGCUCGUACCUGA